GCCAGGGUGGUGCAGUGGUUUGAGCAUUGGACUAUAACUCUGGAGACCAGGGUUCGAAUCCUGGCUCUGCUG